CUGACAGAAGCAUUGCAAUUUU
rnacentral:misc_RNA from 1 species